UAACAACACGUGAAGCUAUGUCUCUCC
rnacentral:piRNA from 1 species